CCUACGGGAGGCAGCAGUGAGGAAUAUUGGUCAAUGGGCGGAAGCCUGAACCAGCCAAGUCGCGUGAGGGAUUAAGGCCCUGCGGGUCGUAAACCUCUUUUGCCGGGGAGCAGAGGUCCGGACGUGUCCGGGCCGGGAGAGUACCCGGAGAAAAAGCAUCGACUAACUCCGUGCCAGCAGCCGCGGUAAUACGGGGGAUGCGAGCUUUAUCCGGAUUUAUUGGGUUUAAGGGGUGCGUAGGCGGGCAUUUAAGCCGGCGGUCAAAUGUCGGGGCUCAACCCCGGCCUGCCGUCGGAACUGGGUGCCUUGAGUGGGCGAGAAGUAUGCGGAAUGCGUGGUGUAGCGGUGAAAUGCAUAGAUAUCACGCAGAACCCCGAUUGCGAAGGCAGCAUACCGGCGCCCUACUGACGCUGAGGCACGAAAGUGCGGGUAUCGAACAGGAUUAGAUACCCCUGUAGUC
rnacentral:rRNA from 1 species